CCAUAAGCCAUCGAGUCUUUGAACACAAGUUAUGCCCGAAGCCUUUAGGCCGAGGGCACGCCUGCCUAGGGGUCUCACACUAAGUCACUCUAUGCCCGUAAAGGGUCCCCAGGUUGAUGGGGGUGGAUUUUGGCUCCCCGUGCACUGCCCUCAUGCGUGAUCUCCCAAAAAAGAAUCCUCGGCGAUCAACAUCAUGACAAGUGGUGGAUGUGCAAAACGUUACGUCAUGUCAUGCACGUGCUAUUCCGGUGGGUUGCUCUCGUUUCCAAUCCUGAGAAGGCAUCGUUCCUACGGUACCUCGGCCUUGACCCCAGGUCAGGCAGGAUUACCUCCUAAGUUUAAGCAUAUCAAUAAGUAGAAGAAAAGAAACUUAUAAGGACUCUCCUAGUAAUGGUGCGAACCAAGAAUAGCCCAGCUUGAAAAUCAUGUGACAUGACAAUUCAAAUUGUAGUCUAGAGAAGCGUCCUCAGCGGCGAAUCGGGCCCAAGUCCCUGAGGGGCGCUAGAGAGCAUGAGAGCCCCAUCGUGCCUGGACCCUGUCGUACUACAAGGCGCUAUCAGCGAGUCAGGAUGUUUGGGAAUGCAACCCAAUCGAGUGGUAAAUUUUGUCCUAUUCUAAAUACAGGUGAGAGAUCAAUAACAAACAAGUACUGUGAGGGAAAGAUGAAAAGGACUUUGAAAAGAGAAUCAAAGAGUACUUGAAAUUGUCAGAAGGGAAGUGGAUGCAAGCCAAAGAUGCACCUCGAUCGGAUGUGGAACGGCGACAAUGUGGUGGAAUUAAGAGCUCCAAGUGGGCCAUUUUUGGUAAGCACAAUUGGUAAUACGAGAUGAAUCCAAAGUCGAGUUACAGUAUCCAACUACAUGCUAAUCUAGAACCCACAAAGGGUAUUGGUCGAUUAAGACAGCAGGACGGUGGUCAUGGAAGUCGAAAUCCACUAAGGAGUUUGUAACAACUCACCUACCUAAUCAACUAGCCCUGAAAAUGGAUGGUGCUAAAGAGUGUGACCUAUACUCGGGCAUUGGGGCAAGUGCCAGGCCCCAAUGUGUAGGAGGGCAUAGCGUUUGCUACAAAACCUUGGGCGCGAGCGGCCGUUGGUGUGGAUCUUGGUGGUAGUUGUAAAUAUUCAAAUGAGAACUUUGAAGGCCGAAGAGGGGAAAUGUUCCUUGUAAACGGCACUUACACAUGGGUUAGUCAAUCCUAAGAGUUGGGGGGACCUUGAUAGAGAGCGAGUCCAAUAUGAGCAUUGAAAGGGAAUCUAGUUAAAAUUCCUAAACAUGGAAGUGACGACUGACGGCCACAUUAUGGAGUCCAGAGACGUCAAUAGGGGCCUAGGGAAGAGUUAUCUUUUCUUUUUAAUAGCCUGCCUACCCUGAAAACGGCUCAACCAGAGGUAAGGUCCAGUAACUGGAAGAGCAGUGCACGUCGUGUGGUGUCCGGUGCACCCCCGGUGGCUCUUGAAACUCCAGAGGACCGAAUGCCUCCCAUGCUUGGUCGUACUCAUAACCGCAUCAGGUCUCUAUGGUGAACAGCCUCUGGCUGAUGGAAUAAUGUAGGCAAGGGAAGUCAGCAAAAUGGAUCCAAAACUUUGGGAAAAGGAUUAACUCUAAGGGCUAAGGACGGGGGUCCCAAUCCCGAACCCGAUGGUUGCUGGUGGACAGCUCGAGUGGCUCUCGUGGUGAGAACGGGUCGCCACGUGCAAGCCUGGGGAUGGACUGGAAAUGGCUCCUCAUGGGGCCUUCCCAAGCGUCAAACAGUCGACUCAAAACUAGUACAGAUAAGGGGAAUCCGACUAUUUAAUUAAAACAAAGCAUUGCGAUGGUUAUGUUGAUUUUUACCCAGUGCUCUAAAUGUGAAAAUAAAGAAAUUCAACUAAACAUGGUUAAACAAUGAGAGUAACUAUUACUCUCUUAGGGUAGCCAUAUACCUCAUCAUCUAAUUAGUGACGUGCGUAAAGGGAUUAACGAGAUUCCCAUUAUCCCUGUCUACUAUCCAGAGAAACCUCAACCAAGGGAAUGAGCUUGGCAGAAUCAACAGGGAAAGAAGACCCUGUUGAGCUUGACUCUAGUCUGACUUUGUGAAAUGACUUUAGAGAUGUAGUAUAAGUGGGAGCCGAAAACGGUGAAAGUGAAUACCACUACUUUUAACGUUAUUCUACUUAUUGUGUGAGUUGGAGGUGGGGCAUUUCCCAUUUUUUUGGACCAAAGGCCUGCCUUGGCAGACCGAUCCGACCGGAAGACAUUAUCAAGAGGAGAGUUUGGCUAGGGCAGCACAUCUGUUAAAAGAAAAGACAGGUGUCCUAAGAUGAGCUCAACGAGAACAGAAAUCUCAUGUGGAACAGAAGGGCAAAAGCUCGUUUGAUUCUGAUUUCCAGUACAGAUACAAACCAUAAAAGUGUGGCCUAACGAUCUUUUAGACAUUCAGAACUUGAAGCUAGAGGUGGCAGAAAAGUUACCACGGGCAUAACAGGCUUGUGGCAACUAAGCAUUCAUAGCAAUGUUGCUUUUUUAUCCCUCGAUAUCGACUAUUCCUAUCAUUAUGAAGCAGAAUUCACUAAGUUUUGGAUUGUUCACCCACCAAUAAGGAACGUGAGUUGGGUUUAGAUCGUCGUGAGACAGGUUAGUUUUACCCUAUUGAUGACAGUGUAACAGUAGUAAUUCAACCUAGCAUGAGAGGAACUGUUGAUUCACACAAUUGAUUAUUACACUUGGUUGAAAAGCCAGUGGCGCAAAGUUACCAUGCGCUGGAUUAUAACUAAAUGUCUCUAAGUUAAAAUCCGGGAUAGAAGUGACACAAGCACCCACCUACGUUCACCAACCAGUAGUAGGUGCCAUUCGACCCCCAAAGGCACGUGUCGUAGAUGAAACUCGUGUAACGAAUGAACCGCACGGGCCGCUUUAAAGUUCAAUUCCUAUCGAGCGAUGAGUAGAAUCCUUUGUAGAUGACUUAAAUACACAAUGGGGUAUUUUAAGUGGUGGAGUGGCCUUGCUACCACGAUCUAACCCUU
rnacentral:rRNA from 1 species